UACGUAGGGCGCGAGCGUUGUCCGGAUUAUUGGGCGUAAAGAGCUCGUAGGCGGCUUGUUGCGUCGACCGUGAAAACUUGGGGCUUAACCCUAAGCUUGCGGUUGAUACGGGCAGGCUAGAGUUCGGUAGGGGAGACUGGAAUUCCUGGUGUAGCGGUGAAAUGCGCAGAUAUCAGGAGGAACACCGGUGGCGAAGGCGGGUCUCUGGGCCGAUACUGACGCUGAGGAGCGAAAGCGUGGGGAGCAACAGG
rnacentral:rRNA from 1 species